CUCAUGAGUAGAAAUAGCCUAACGGUUAGUUUUUUUGGAUGCUUUUAAUGGCUAGUUUUUGGCUUUAAUUGCUAGAUCAGCCCUUUCAAUAGUCAAGACUCAUUCUCUAACUGCUUUCAAGCUGAUAAAAAAUUAGAGAAUUAUUUAAGAAGUAAAAAAAUGGGAUUAAAAGAGAAAAACAUAUCAUUAUGUGAGGGAUUAUUGAAUAUCCUUGGAAAGGGAGAAA
rnacentral:lncRNA from 1 species